rnacentral:tRNA from 1 species
AAGAGUAAAUUAAAAAGAAGCCGCUAACUAUCUUUUAAGUGUUUAUUCACUUUACUCUUA